CCACAGACCACCACAGGAAAAGAAAACAAAGGAAGCAACCUCCAACUGUCACAGGACCAACUGUGACAUCUGUCUUGUAACUGGAUUGGUAACUACAAAAAGUCCAAAGCUGCUUCUGAGCCCUGGCAGUCAAAGCCCAAAAUACACACAAGAGAACUGUCACCAUACAAUCUUUUAUGUAGGGACAUUCUCAGAAACAAAGGCACAAUGAACGAUAUUAAGGGCAAGUGGUCCACAUUAGGGAAAGACGAGAAGCAGAAAUACUUUCAAGAGGCAGAAGCACUGAGGGCAUACGGGCAGGCACAGGACAUUAGCCCUGAGAUGAGGGAGCUCAAAAUUAAAAAGCAUCU